GAUUCCCUGCAGGCGAUUGGUGAUGCUCCGUUGAAGUCUUGAACCUACGCCCUUUCGAGGGAGUAUGUCUCGGGCCGCUGAGUGGCAGCCCCCCCGCGGGGAAUCGCGAGGCGUCCCGGCGUACAUCCGCCCGUGUUCAUCGCGGGUUCCAGGACUCAGGAGCACACGGCGCCGCGGGGAUCAU
rnacentral:other from 1 species